UGGGGAAUAUUGCACAAUGGGGGAAACCCUGAUGCAGCGACGCCGCGUGAGCGAAGAAGGCUUUCGAGUCGUAAAGCUCUGUCCUAUGAGAAGAUAAUGACGGUAUCAUAGGAGGAAGCCCUGGCUAAAUACGUGCCAGCAGCCGCGGUAAUACGUAUGGGGCGAGCGUUGUCCGGAAUUAUUGGGCGUAAAGGGUACGUAGGUGGUUUUUUAAGUCAGGUGUCAAAGCGUGGAGCUUAACUCCAUUAAGCACUUGAAACUGAAAGACUUGAGUGAAGGAGAGGAAAGUGGAAUUCCUAGUGUAGCGGUGAAAUGCGUAGAUAUUAGGAGGAAUACCGGUGGCGAAGGCGACUUUCUGGACUUUUACUGACGCUGAGGAACGAAAGCGUGGGUAGCAAACAGG
rnacentral:rRNA from 1 species